AGUGAACGCUGGCGGUAGGCCUAACACAUGCAAGUCGAACGGCAGCACAGUAAGAGCUUGCUCUUACGGGUGGCGAGUGGCGGACGGGUGAGGAAUACAUCGGAAUCUACUUUUUCGUGGGGGAUAACGUAGGGAAACUUACGCUAAUACCGCAUACGACCUACGGGUGAAAGCAGGGGAUCUUCGGACCUUGCGCGAUUGAAUGAGCCGAUGUCGGAUUAGCUAGUUGGCGGGGUAAAGGCCCACCAAGGCGAUGAUCCGUAGCUGGUCUGAGAGGAUGAUCAGGCACACUGGAACUGAGGCACGGUCCAGACUCCUACGGGAAGCAGCAGUGGGGAAUAUUGGACAAUGGGCGGAAGCCUGAUCCAGCCAUACCGCGUUGGUGGAGGAGGCCUUCGGGUUGUAAAGCCCUUUUGUUGGGAAAGAAAAGCAGCAGGUUAAUACCCCGCUGUUCUGACGGUACCCAAAGAAUAAGCACCGGCUAACUUCGUG
rnacentral:rRNA from 1 species